ACUGCAGCCUCAACCUCCCAGGCUCAAGCCAUCCUCCUGCCUCAGCCUCCUGAGUAGGUGGGACCACAGGUGUGUGACACCAUGCCUGGCUAAUUUUUAAAUUUUUUGUAGAGACAGGGUCCCAUUAUGUUGCCUGAGCUGGUCUCAAACUCCUGGCCUCAAGCGAUCCUCCCACCUCAGCCUCCCAAAGUGCUGGGAUUACAGGCGUGAGCCACUGUGCCCCAGUGUGUCUUCAUAUAUUUGACGUCCCACUGUGGUUUUCACAGCAGUGUGUGCUCAGUGGAGUUUUGCAGGUUGAUUCCUACAGGACCGUGACCUAGAGUCUUCCAUCCUUUCCAGAUAGAGAGGUGUCCAGCAUCCGGAUGGGGUCAUGAGCAGGGAAGAUAGUUGUGGAGCUCGUCAGUUGUGGGGCUCAUCUUUGCUUUAGCAUGAAUCCAUGAUGUUGACAUUGGAGCUUGCUUUGGAACCUGUGUUCUGAGAAGGCAGAACAUCCUAGACACUAAGGCUGCCUCCUUCAUCUGGGAUAAGACCGCAUCAGGAAGCCUCAUCACCUCAUGAGAGCCGAUUCGGAUCAGCCUCCUCUGCUCAUCUCUCCCGCUGCCCCCAUCAGAAAAUCCAUAACCACAACCUUUCCCAGCCUUUAAGCUGCCUCUGGAGAGUCAGGGAAGCCAACGGCAUCAUUGUUCACGCGGCAACUGUGCUGCACCUCGUUGUGCAGAAGCUUGGUGGGCGUCCGUGACUUCAGGAGCCCGUGAGAAGGGGAAGCCGUCGGUAUUGUGCCUCAUGCCAAAGAACCGGACUACCCACCAGGGACAGUUACUUGUCUUUUACAAUACCCAGGAAGUGCCCUUCAUCACAGAUGCUGAAGUUUGACUGUGGCCUUAUGCGGUACAUUGUGCUGACAUAUUUUCUCAUGGGAACUGUUGGGCUAGUUCAGGCAAGUAUCUGCAAUGCUUAAACAGACAGUUUCAGGCUGGAGAAUUUAAGAGACAACCAAAUAGAGUUUUAAUGCCCUGUAAGAUAAUAACGAAAGACAUUUAUGAAAAAAAAAAUUCCAGUUAGUUUGAAAGCCAGGGCCCGCACUCCAUAUUUUGACAGCAGAUGGAUGGCUAGCUUGACUGAUCCUGGUUUACUUUCUGACUUGAAUUUGUCCCCAGUCCAGUGAAAUCAUAAGGGCUCCCUUCAAUCUGGUUAAUGUUCAGAACCAAUGUUUGAGUUUUAGACUAAUUAAGGGGCAACCACUGACAUUUUUUCUAUAAUGUGAAGACUGGUGCCAGCAGUAACUCAGUGAGAUUUAACAUAAAAGCCAGAUAAAACAAUUAAAGUGGAAGAAUAUUUGAUUAAGUGGAUCACUGAUUUAUAGUGAGGUAAAUUGAAAUUGAAAGGAGAGUGAACUUUUUAUGGCAAUCAUAUAUUACGUUCAUUAUCAGAGACUCUGGAUCCUUUGUGCUUUUGUGAUUUAAAAAGAAAUAAACCAGUUUAAGGAGAGUCAUCCUGGCAGGCAUCGUUUGUGUCUUGUCUUGAGUUAUGGUUUCUUUUCAUUGCAAAGGUUAAAUAAAUCAUAUUCAAGAAAACUCAUUGCAAAACACGCAAUCAACAUUUGAAUAGACAAAAAAGUGUAAUAGGGCCACGCAUGGCAAAAUACACACCGGCACUUUUGUUUUGGUGAGCUUGACAUACACUUCAAUCAGCAUUUAUUUGGUAUUUGCAGAAACUGUAGCUGUGGCAACAUCCCUUAAGGGGUCUUGGGUCUGUUGUCUAGAAGAGCCAUAGAUUUGGUAUCAGACCUGGGGAAAUUGUGAAACAG
ensembl:lincRNA